rnacentral:rRNA from 1 species
GACGAACGCUGGCGGCACGCUUAACACAUGCAAGUCGAACGGAGUUAAUUUUGGUUUACUAAGAUUAACUUAGUGGCGGACGGGUGAGUAACACGUGAGCAACCUGCCUUUGAGAGAGGGAUAGCUUCUGGAAACGGAUGGUAAUACCUCAUAAAAUAACGGAGCCGCAUGACUUUGUUAUCAAAGAUUUAUCACUCAAAGAUGGGCUCGCGUCUGAUUAGAUAGUUGGUGAGGUAACGGCUCACCAAGUCGACGAUCAGUAGCCGGACUGAGAGGUUGAACGGCCACAUUGGGACUGAGACACGGCCCAAACUCCUACGGGAGGCAGCAGUGGGGAAUAUUGUACAAUGGGGGGAACCCUGAUGCAGCGAUGCCGCGUGGAGGAAGAAGGUUUUCGGAUUGUAAACUCCUGUCUUAAAAGACGAUAAUGACGGUACUNUAGGAGGAAGCUCUGGCUAACUACGUGCCAGCAGCCGCGGUAAUACGUAGGGAGCGAGCGUUGUCCGGAAUUACUGGGUGUAAAGGGAGCGUAGGCGGGACUGCAAGUCAGAUGUGAAAUGCCGGGGCUUAACCCCGGAGCUGCAUUUGAAACUGUGGUUCUUGAGUGAAGUAGAGGCAAGCGGAAUUCCUGGUGUAGCGGUGAAAUGCGUAGAUAUCAGGAGGAACACCGGUGGCGAAGGCGGCUUGCUGGGCUUUUACUGACGCUGAGGCUCGAAAGCGUGGGUAGCAAACA